rnacentral:misc_RNA from 1 species
UACCCUUGACAUGUCAGGAAGUCCGCUGAGAGGUGGAUGUGCCCGAAAGGGAACCUGAACACAGGUGCUGCAUGGCUGUCGUCAGCUCGUGUCGUGAGAUGUUGGGUUAAGUCCCGCAACGAGCGCAACCCUUGUCAUUAGUUGCUACAUUCAGUUGGGCACUCUAAUGAGACUGCCGGCGACAAACCGGAGGAAGGUGGGGAUGACGUAGGGAAUGUCGAUA